GGAAGCAGUCCAGCACCGUGCUAAUGAAAAAAGACGUGAGCAGCAUACUACUAUGAAGGCACUCAAGUAAAAAAAAAAAAAAAAAAUGAUACUGGAGACGGGUGAGGGCACUACUAUAGAUGUAUAGUUGGGAAAAUAGGAUACAUAAAGGUACUUGUUAUACCUGUUACUAACGAUAAACCAUUUCUAACGAAAAACAAUUGGGGACAAAGUUCGGUUGAAUAUAUUGUUUUUAAAAAUUAAUAAAAAAAAAAAAGUUAUCCUAGGAAAAUUGAGAUGAGUGUCUGUGUAUACCUGAAAACAACGAUAAAUCGUGGCUAACGCAAAAACAAUUCCGAGCGGGGUUCAGUUGAUGGCAGU